CAUGUAUAGUAAUUGUUUCACAAACUAAUAAUGUCCCCCCUCCUCUGCUGUUUCCUCCCCUCACCAUGGGCCAUAGUGAUCUGAGCUGUAUGCUCUAAAAGCUGUGUUGAAGUUCUUACCCCUAAUAUCUGGGAACGUGACCUUAUUCGAAACUAGGAUCUUUGCAGAUAUAAUUAGUUAAGUAUCUAGGGAUGAAGUCAUCCUGGGUUUAGAGUGAGCCCUAAAUUGAAUGAUUGGUAUCUUUAUAAGAGGAGACACAGAAAAAGAGCCACACAAAGAGAGAGAGGCAGAGAUGGGAGUGAUGCAGAUAUGGGCCUAAAAAAGGGCCAAGGAUUUCUGGGAGAUAGCAGCACCUCGGAAGAAGCAAGGAAAGGUUCUCCCCGAGAGUUCAGAGAGAAUGUUGCUCUGGUUUGGGGCAUCUGGUCACCAGGACUGUGAAAGAAUAGAUACUUAUUGUUUAUAUCCACCCGGUCUGUUGUGGUUUAUUAUGGUAGCCCCAGGAAACUAAUACAUGGGCCAAUCCUGUAAACCCACCCGUAUCACCAACAAUAUUUUGCUUAAACCAUGCCCCAAAGAUAUGUCAGAGAAACAAGACACUGACAUUAGAGUCAAUGUUUUUCAUAAGUCCCAUUUAAGGUCAAAGCGAAAGUCUACUAAAUGGCAUGCAGAGGAAAGACCAGAGCUGGUAGGAUUACCAAUAGCUACAACUCUUUUAGAAAAGGAUCUGGAAUUUCCUUGUAAAGCUGAAGAUGUGCUCAGCCUUUGACUGAUAAUGACUGCUGCAAUGGAGAGGAAUGGUUGUACUUGAGGACAAGUGUGGAAACUUUUAAAAAACAUCAUUAUUCCUAAUAGCCUCAAACUGGAAAAUAUCCAAAUGUCCAUCAACAGGAUAAUGACAAGUGAAAAGCACUGUAUUCUUACAAAUGGCAUGUUAUUCUGCAGUGCAUAUUCAUGAACUACAGUUACAUUCAAAAAACUAAAUGAUUUUUUCAAAAAUUAUGUUAAACCAAAAAAAAAAAAAGCCAGACAAAAAUAAAGUAUACCUAGUAUAAUUCCAUCUAUAGAAAAUCCUGAAAGUAAUCCUCAAAACUAAAUUGUAUUAUUUGGAGAGGCAUCUCUGGGUAGUAAAAGCAGAGCAAGAAAGUGAUGACAAUAAAAUUUAAGACAGAGGGAAAGUAAGUGGUUAUGAUGGGGAAGAAAUAUACCAGGGUGGAGGGGGACAUAUAAACAUAUCAGUGGCAUUUCUUUUUAUUGAGCUGUGUGGUGGUUUUGUAGAUAUUUAUUUUUCUUUUCUACACCUUCUAUACCUUUAGCCAUUUUACUCCUUAUACAUAUAAAAUAUUUUACAUAUUCUCAAAAAAAGUUUUUGAAAAGGGUUAAGGAUAAAAAAGAAAAGAAUCCAUAGAUGCUUUAGAGGCAUAAAAUGUUCUAAUUCACCCUGAAGAAAUCUGUUUGUUUUCAUAUGGUUCGUUCACAUUAUCUUUCUUACUCUGAUUUCUCAUCUGUCAGCUAAAGUCUCAGUCAAGGCAUUUUCUUCUAAAACCUAAGAUUCUGGGAAAGAAGGGGAAUAUGAAAAAACUCAACAAAUCUUAACGGUUGCCUGGAUGUCAGUCUUGUGGGGAAUGUGGUAUUUAGCUUUGCCACAGACUUGCUCCCUAGUGACUGCUAAGUGAGAUUGGUUGGAGAUGAGCAUAGUGUGUAAGAGGCAGGCCAGCUAUCAUGCCACACUUUGCCAUUUCCAAGGGCUUUCCACAUGGUCUCCAUUGAGCUUCACCCAAACCCUUUGAGAAGAUCUUACCGCUUCUCUUUUACCUGAGAGAUUGUUAAGCUGCAGAGAUGUUAAAAGACUUGUCCAAAGUCUCAAGUUCAGGAAAUACCAGGGCUGGGAUUGGAAACUAGGUUUCUUCCAUUCUAAUGUAGUGACUUUUAAUGGGGUUCUGCAGCAGAUGUACCAACAGGAACAUACGCGUGCAUGUGCCUGAGACUUGAUGGUACUGAACUGAUUUGAUGCAGACAUCUCAAACUCAGGCUGUAGAGAUGAAAAAGCCAGCAGGCUCCACGGGGCUGUGCAGAAGAUAGACAGGGUUUAAGCUAAUCACCUUGCAUCUGGGGACUUUCAUCUUUUUGAGACCUGUCCUCAUGGCACAGAUAAAAGGCAAAAUUAAUAUUCCUUGUGGUGGUCGGUACUCUUAGCAAAGUCCUCUGUUUACCUUCCAUGUGGUUGAUACUCUAUUCCUCCUAAAUGCUUACAGCCUCCCUGCCAAGCCCCAGUUCUUUACAAACUCAAGGUGGUGAAUUACUUGGUAAAGCAUUUCAGAGAAACAGACAUAGUCAGAUCUCUGUUUGGACUUCAUACUGGAGGAAGUGUGCACACCCUGUUUCAUAUUGCUGUCUUUGAUGCCAACAAAUCGACCAUUUGUGAUACAGCUUCUGCCAAGAAAUCCCCCAGGCCCUUGUGUAGUUUCAGCAGAGGAUAUAUGAAAAGACUGAACAAAUAUCAGUGUUUUAUCCUCAUUCCUGUCCUCAAAGCUUCUGCAAACUUAAGCAAGCUAUGUUUCAUGAUAUCCUCAGCACAGCAUGGAAGUCUACCUAAACCAUUCUUGGCACUGAUACUUUCAGUUUAGCCGUUAAGGGGUAAAUAUUUGCAUCUCUUAAAUGCUUUAAUAAAGUAAUAGAAAUAAAAUAGAAGCUAAUGUGAAACCCAAACUAAGGUCUCAGAGAGCAUCAAGAGGGAUGGAUGGAUUUCUCUUAUGUUUCACAGUUGAUUCUCCCUUACACACUAUACAUAGCCUAAAACACAGGCCAGCGAGUUACCAAUUGUGUAGAAUGGUAAAGCUUUGUGAAAACCAUUAGAAUUUGGGUGACAGAGAUAAGGCAACGAUGCAAUGUAAAGCAAAAGCACAUGGUGGCAAAGGUGGUUUAUUAUCUACUGAGCUGCCUGCGAUGGUUUAUCUGGGCAUAAUUCACUCCCUACUCUAACAAGGGUCUGGCCGCCUGGUGGAUAAGUCAAAACUGCUUUCAGGUCACUUCCUUCUCUCCCCAGCCUUCCCUGAGAGUUAUCUCCAUAGUACAAUUACUCACACCCUCAUCAUCUAAGAUCAUCUUUCCGAUACCACCAUGCUUCCAUCUAAAAUGAAGUACAAGAAGAGAAUGAGUUUGGAAUCUUAGUAUAAACCUUUUGAAGAAUUAGGAAGACCUAGAGUUAGAGUUUAUCUUUUAAAUGAGAAAAGCACAUGUACCGCAUAAUAUAUAAAAAGAAGGCAAUUAGUUCCUUUUAAGAAUCUGGUGGAGGGAGUUCCCAUCGUGGCGUAGUGGUUAACGAAUCCGACUAGGAACCAUGAGGUUGCGGGUUCGGUCCUGCCCUUGCUCAGUGGGUUAACGAUCCGGCGUUGCUGUGAGCUCUGGUGUAGGUUGCAGACGCGGCUCAGAUUCCGCGUUGCUGUGGCUCUGGUGUAGGCCAGUGGCUACAGCUCUGAUUCGACCCCUAGCCUGGGAACCUCCAUAUGCCGCCGGAGCGGCCCAAAGAAAUAGCAAAAAGACAAAAAAAAAAAAAAAAAAAAAGAAUCUGGUGGAGUUUCAGGAAGGCCUGUGGAGAGAAUGACUGUCACCUUGAGCUAGAAUCCAGCAUGCCUGAGACAUGUGACUCUGGUAGAGUAACAUUCACAUUCCUUUCUCGGUGUUUUGAUUGUACAUCUACCAGCAAAUGAAGUUGCAUCUGAUAUGAAAAUAUCCAAGGAAAUAAAGAGAAGCAAAUCAAUAUGGAUUCUUAGGCUUAAAUCUGCAGCAAAAAGAAUUUAGCUGUUUUCAGAUUUGAAGGAAACUUGGAAUUGCUGGGAAGACUUGGAACUGAUAAACCUCAAUUUCCAAAUCCGUAAAGUGGAGAUAACUGUUUUUUAUUCACUGGGUUGCAGUGAAGCAUUAAUGAGAUCAUAUAAUGCACUUAACCAAAAUAAAUACAUGCAUACAUGCAUACAUGCAUACAUACAUACAUACAUACAUACAUACAUAGAGUACUUAAGAAGAAGUUGAGUAUUUAAUAAUUGCUUAAUAAAAAUAACAAUUAAUGACCAUAUUCACAUUAUUUCCCAGAAAUAUUUAUUUGCAUGUGAAAUUUCAGGUUUUCAGAGUGAAUAAUAGGAAAACUGCUACAGACUAGAAUAUUGUGUUGCAACCUACAAAUCAAAUUUUCUUCUAAUAUGUUAUUUGCUGCUCACAAUUAGCUGUUUCUAUAUUUUCCUAUUUCUGAGGAGGACACCAAGGCCAAUCUCUCUGGAAGUUCAUAAACAAAAUGCAAAGCCGGAACAUUGCCCUGAACUUCUUUUAUUGUGCAGAAUCUAUUGUGCCAAAGACUUUAUCAGAUACACAUAAAAUUAAUUUCACCUAUUUUAAACUAAUAUUCUCUAAACUAUGAUUUUAUAAUUUUGAUCAUGACAAAAUGUUCUUUGAAUUAUAUUCUGACUACUCUGUCUGAGAAGUGCCCUAUUCAAAGAAAGCUCUUUUAUUUUCCUUUUGUGCUCCUUCCUUUUAAAAAUACACAUAUCAGAAGUACAGGAACAUGUCAUUUAUUCAAAGGCACCUCAUGGGAUUUUAAUCAGCUGUUAUCCCAGGGACAGAGACCUUUUUCCAAUCAGAUUAAAUAUAGGUGCAAAGAAUUUAGUGGCUUUUUUCCCCUCAUUUUCAACAAAAGCUUUGUCCAAUUAACUAUGAAAUAGGUUAAUGGUAAUUUAUUACAGAAAAACUCUGUUAUAUCUGUGAAGUUUUGCUCUUUUCAUGGGAAUUGUGUGGUGAUUAAAACGAUUUAAUAGUUUCUUAAAAUAGUAGGUGACACCUCUUCUAGGUAAGGCAGUAAGCUAGCGUUUGCUGACUCUCCAUCCUGUUGGAAUCAUCCGGAGCUUUCAGAAAUGAUUCAUGCCUGAGCCUCACCCCUCAGAGAUGCCAGUUUAAUUGGUCCACCGUGGGGCCUUAACACUGCUAUGAUUAAAGGCUCUCCGUGUGUUUCAAGUCUGCAGCCAAGACUGAGAAUUACUGAGACAUCUCUGUGGUAGAUGAAUAUAAAACACACAUGGUUUACCCUCCCCUCAAGGAGCUUCAGAUUCUACUAAGGAAAAUAUGCUUUUAAAAUUCAUUGAGGAGUUCCUGCUGUGACACAGUGGGAUCAGUGACAUCUCUGGAGUGCUAGGAUGUGGGUUCGAUCCCUCGCCUGGCACAGUGGGUUAUGAAUCCGGAGUUGCCACAGCUGUGGUGUGAGUUGCAGCUGUGGCUUGGAUCUGACCCCUGGCCCAGGAACUCCAGACG
rnacentral:lncRNA from 1 species